CUGGGGGGGGUGGCAGGUCCCGGCCCUGCAGGUGCCCGAGGGUGACACCAUCUACGACUUCACCUGGUACCCCCUGAUGGACUCCACACAACCCCCCAGCUGCCUGCUGGUGUCCAGCUGCCGGGACAACCCCGUUCACCUCUGGGACGCCUUCGAUGGGACCCUGCGGGGGUCCUUCCGUGCCCACAACCACCUGGACGAGCCAGUGGCCCCCCACUCUCUGACCUUCACC